rnacentral:rRNA from 1 species
AAGUCCCGCAACGAGCGCAACCCCUGCCCCUAGUUGCUAACCCGCGAGGGUGCACUCUAGGGGGACUGCCUCCGGUCAAGGAGGAGGAAAGUCGGGGAUAACGUCAAGUCAUCAUGGUCCUUAUGCCCAGGGCUACACACGUCCUACAGUGGCCGUUACAAUGGGAAGCUACAUCGCGAGGUGAUGCCAAGUCCUGUAAAGCGGCCAUGGUUCGGAUUGCAGGCUGCAACUCGCCUGCAUGAAGAUGGAAUCGCUAGUAAUCACUGAUCAGCAUGCAGUGGUGAAUACGUUCCCGGGUCUU